GACGAACGCUGGCGGCGUGCUUAACACAUGCAAGUCGAACGGAAAGGCCCUGCUUGUGUGGGGUGCUCGAGUGGCGAACGGGUGUGUAACACGUGAGUAACCUGCCCUUGACUUUGGGAUAACUUCAGGAAACUGGGGCUAAUACCGGAUAGGAGCUCCUGCUGCAUGGUGGGGGUUGGAAAGUUUCGGCGGUUGGGGAUGGACUCGCGGCUUAUCAGCUUGUUGGUGGGGUAGUGGCUUACCAAGGCUUUGACGGGUAGCCGGCCUGAGAGGUUGACCGGGGACAUUGGGCCUGAGAGACGGCCCAGAGUCCUACGGGAGGCAGCAGUGGGGAAUAUUGUACAAUGGGCGGAAGCCUGAUGCAGCAACGCCGCGUGCGGGAUGACGGCCUUCGGGUGGAAAACCGCUUUCGCCUGUGACGAAGCGUGAGUGACGGUAAUGGGUAAAGAAGCACCGGCUAACUACGUG
rnacentral:rRNA from 1 species